rnacentral:lncRNA from 1 species
CAUUUGGCAGGCUACCCCAGACCCAUGUGGAGCAGAGGAACACUGGUGGCAUGGAGGGAGUGCAAGACCCUGAAGAGAAUAUGCUGAGGUCCUGAAGUGUGCAGCUGGGGCUUAAUGAGCUAGGUAAAACUGACAUUCCAUAAAAGAAAUGAGUAGUUCAGCCUGAAACUCAAAUAAUUGCACAAGUAUUUUUCUUCAAGAUAAUCAUCAUACUUUGUUACAGAGCAGAAAUACAGCUCUUCCUGCUUCCUUCUCAUCUUAUCACCCAGAAUAUUUGUCAUAGUUAAUUAUAUGUGUCUACUUGAAGGGUGUUUUUGGAUGACUCCACUCUCCCUCAUCUCUUCUGGAAAAUAAAAGGAAUCAGAAAUUUCUAGAAGCCAAGAACCAAAUGAACGAAGUCAAAAUUAUGCCCUAAGGCAAGCCUUCCCCUCCAUGCUUAGAGCUAGCUCAAGGGGUGUGAAUGCCUCUACAGAUCCAGUUUCUUGGUGCCACAGAAGGGUCAGCAUUGACUCUUACCCUGCUCAAUUUGCUUCAACCCAGUGGGGCCUUGUUA